UGCUGCUUUCUACAUUACUCCCACCCCCAAGAAAUAAAAGUGCAAAGCAGAAAAUCAAAACCAUCAAAAAUCCCACCCACCAAAAUGUAGCAUUUUGUAAACAAAUAAUUUUAAGAUUUUGCUAUGGAGGAGCUACUGGCACCAGCACUGCUGACGUGGAACGUUCUCAUCCACCUAAGAGCUUGGAAUAAAAACAGCCCUUUCAGCUUCUACUCAAUGUCACUGCAGCCUCUCAGGCUAAGUCUCAGGCAGGAAUCCAGAUGGGCUGGGCCAGAGAACAAUCUGUGUUACAGUGCAUGUACUGAGUCCAGAAAACCCUCUUCUCUCAAACCACGGCCCAUUGUUCUUUUAACCAAGCAAGUGUGCCUCUCACUUCUUUUCAGUUAAAGUGCAUUCUAACUUUUGGAGAUGAUGGAUUUUUGGAGAUGAUGGAUAUUUUUAUGGCAUAAACUAUGGUGAUAAUUUUACUAGUGUAUACUUAUCUCCAAACUCAUCAAGUUGAACAUAUUAAAUAUAUACAACUUUUUGUUUGUCC
rnacentral:lncRNA from 1 species